rnacentral:rRNA from 1 species
UACGGAGGGUGCAAACGUUGCUCGGAAUCAUUGGGGGUAAAGCGCACGUAGGCGGACUGUUAAGUCGGACGUGAAAUCCCUCAGCUUAACUGAGGAAGUGCAUUCGAAACUGGCAGUCUUGAGUACGGGAGAGGGUCGCGGAAUUCCCGGUGUAGAGGUGAAAUUCGUAGAUAUCGGGAGGAACACCAGUGGCGAAGGCGGCGGCCUGGACCGAUACUGACGCUGAGGUGCGAAAGCGUGGGGAGCGAACAGG